rnacentral:tRNA from 1 species
GCGGAAGUGGCACAGCCUGGACCAAUGCGCCGGACUUGAAAUCCGGUGGUGAUUCACCUCGGGAGUUCGAAUCUCUCCUUCCGCG